rnacentral:rRNA from 1 species
GUCCACGCCGUAAACGAUGGGCACUAGAUGCCGGGCCUAUAGACGGGUUCGGUGUCGUAGCUAACGCAUUAAGUGCCCCGCCUGGGGAGUACGGCCGCAAGGCUGAAACUCAAAGGAAUUGACGGGGGCCCGCACAAGCGGUGGAGCAUGUGGUUUAAUUCGAAGCAACGCGAAGAACCUUACCUAGGCUUGACAUACAUGUGAAACACCCUGGAAACAGGGUGCCUCCUUCUGGACACUUGUACAGGUGCUGCAUGGCUGUCGU